rnacentral:rRNA from 1 species
AACGAACGCUGGCGGCAUGCCUAACACAUGCAAGUCGAACGAGACCUUCGGGUCUAUUGGCGCACGGGUUCGUAACGCGUGGGAACCUGCCCUUAGGUUCGGAAUAACUCCCCGAAAGGGGUGCUAAUACCGGAUAAUGUCUUCGGACCAAAGAUUUAUCGCCUUUGGAUGGGCCCGCGUUGGAUUAGCUAGUUGGUAGGGUAAAAGCCUACCAAGGCGACGAUCCAUAGCUGGUCUGAGAGGAUGAUCAGCCACACUGGGACUGAGACACGGCCCAGACUCCUACGGGAGGCAGCAGUGGGGAAUAUUGGACAAUGGGGGAAAGCCUGAUCCAGCAAUGACGCGUGAGUGAUGAAGGCAUUAGGGUUGUAAAGCUCUUUUACCCGGGAUGAUAAUGACAGUACCGGGAGAAUAAGCUCCGGCUAACUCCGUG